GAUGAACGCUGGCGGCGUGCCUAAUACAUGCAAGUCGAGCGAACAGACGAGGAGCUUGCUCCUGGAUUCAGCGGCGGACGGGUGAGUAAUGCCUAGGAAUCUGCCUGGUAGUGGGGGAUAACGUCCGGAAACGGGCGCUAAUACCGCAUACGUCCUGAGGGAGAAAGUGGGGGAUCUUCGGACCUCACGCUAUCAGAUGAGCCUAGGUCGGAUUAGCUAGUUGGUGGGUAAAGGCCUACCAAGGCGACGAUCCGUAACUGGUCUGAGAGGAUGAUCAGUCACACUGGAACUGAGACACGGUCCAGACUCCUACGGGAGGCAGCAGUGGGGAAUAUUGGACAAAGGGCGAAAGCCUGAUCCAGCCAUGCCGCGUGUGUGAAGAAGGUCUUCGGAUUGUAAAGCACUUUAAGUUGGGAGGAAGGGCAGUAAGUUAAUACCUUGCUGUUUUGACGUUACCAACAGAAUAAGCACCGGCUAACUUCGUG
rnacentral:rRNA from 1 species